rnacentral:rRNA from 1 species
GACGAACGCUGGCGGCGUGCCUAAUACAUGCGAGUAGAACGCUGAAGGAGGAGCUUGCUUCUCUGGAUGAGUUGCGAACGGGUGAGUAACGCGUAGGUAACCUGCCUGGUAGCGGGGGAUAACUAUUGGAAACGAUAGCUAAUACCGCAUAAGAGUAGAUGUUGCAUGACAUUUGCUUAAAAGGUGCAAUUGCAUCACUACCAGAUGGACCUGCGUUGUAUUAGCUAGUUGGUGGGGUAACGGCUUACCAAGGCGACGAUACAUAGCCGACCUGAGAGGGUGAUCGGCCACACUGGGACUGAGACACGGCCCAGACUCCUACGGGAGGCAGCAGUAGGGAAUCUUCGGCAAUGGACGGAAGUCUGACCGAGCAACGCCGCGUGAGUGAAGAAGGUUUUCGGAUCGUAAAGCUCUGUUGUAAGAGAAGAACGAGUGUGAGAGUGGAAAGUUCACACUGUGACGGUAUCUUGCCAGAAAGGGACGGCUAACUACGUG